rnacentral:ncRNA from 1 species
GAGGGUAGUUUAGUAUCGUGUCAUUCAAAAGAUGAUUUGGCUUGUGACGAGCCGCUACCUUCCACAUCCGUAAACCAAACCUUAAUUGUUAAUUCUGGUUUAACAACUAUUAAUUAAAAUCAAGGAAAAGUGCUCGUCAGUCGUUGGAAACAGGUGACUACUUAGUCUUGAGAUGUUCAUGACCGCGUCGGGUCCCAAGCCCUACACGAUUUUCACGAAAGUUCUCUAACCCCGCAAGGGUUCAUCAGGGAGGCAUCCUUGAAGAGUGAUGAGUAAGGAGAGAGUAUUCAGCGACUUCACGAAUGGUUCAACGUAAUUGACCGUCACUGAGAGUUACUACUCAAAAGGUAGUGGAAACGGAGGGAAUCAAUAAUCCUUCUAAAGAUUCUCAUCAGAACUUGUAUUCUCAGAGU